rnacentral:rRNA from 1 species
GGCUCAGAACGAACGCUGGCGGCGUGCUUAACACAUGCAAGUCGAACGAGAAGUACGUAGCAAUACGUAUUGUAAAGUGGCGCACGGGUGAGUAACACGUGGGUAAUCUGCCCUUGAGUUUGGGAUAACCCCGCGAAAGCGGGGCUAAUACCGAAUAAGACCACGGGGACCAAAGUCCCUGAGGUAAAAGGUGGCCUCUAUUUAUAAGCUACCACUUGAGGAUGAGCCCGCGGCCCAUUAGCUAGUUGGCAGGGUAACGGCCUACCAAGGCUAUGAUGGGUAGCUGGUCUGAGAGGACGAUCAGCCACACUGGAACUGAGACACGGUCCAGACUCCUACGGGAGGCAGCAGUGGGGAAUAUUGCGCAAUGGGCGAAAGCCUGACGCAGCAACGCCGCGUGGGGGAUGAAGGUUUUCGGAUUGUAAACCCCUUUCGAUCGGAACGAAUCUCCUCUUGGUAAAUAAUCAGGAGGAUCGACGGUACCGAGAGAAGAAGCCACGGCUAACUCUGUGCCAGCAGCCGCGGUAAGACAGAGGUGGCGAGCGUUGUUCGGAUUUAUUGGGUGUAAAGCGAACGCAGGUGGUUUGGUAAGUCAGGGGUGAAAGUCCACAGCUUAACUGUGGCACUGCCUUUGAUACUGCCUUUCUUGAGUGCAUGAGGGGGAAGCGGAAUUCCGAGUGUAGAGGUGAAAUUCGUAGAUAUUCGGAGGAACACCGGUGGCGAAGGCGGCUUCCUGGCAUGUAACUGACACUCAUGUUCGAAAGCGUGGGUAGCAAACAGGAUUAGAUACCCUGGUAGUCCACGCCCUAAACGAUGGGCACUAGGUGUGGGAGGUAUCGACCCCUUCCGUGCCGCAGCUAACGCAUUAAGUGCCCCGCCUGGGGAGUA